UUUUUUUUCUAAAAUAAAAAAUAUAAAAAAUAAAAAACAUGGGACAAAAAGACAAAAACCAAAUAAAACACAGAAACCCCACCCACCCCUUUCUAUUUCUCUCACGUGCAUUUCACUCUCUACUCCCAUCUUCUAGAAUUCUCUCCACUCUCACUUUCAUUUUGUUCGUCUGUAUUCCAAUUCACCAUAAUUCUUUUUCUCUUCUCUCCACUCUUGAUGGUUAAUUACUCAUAUAAGCAAAGCUAUCUCCUAGUCUACAAGUGUUCAUGGGUAAAGAUUUUGGAGUUAGGGUUAUUGCUCUAAGAAAGGAGAAGAAUACCCAUCUCUUGAAAGUUGGUCAUUUAUAUUCUUUGAGGUAAAAUUUUAUGAUUCACGAGUUUAAAAAUGAUAUCUAUUUUGGAUGAGUAGCGGAACUAGUGUGUAGUAAACUCUUAGAUUUUCAUGAGUCACUUUAAACUCUAACUAACAAAUUGGGGGUUUUGUCUAAUUCUUUUAUAUAUUGGUAGUGUGAUCUUAAAUAAGUUUUCACGAGAGCUGAAAUUGUUGUAUGAUGUUCAGAUUCGAUGAAAAUUGCUCCGGUGAUCAUUCCGGAAGGCAUUGCUAGGAACGGAGUUGAUUCGUCAUAGUUGUGAGUUGAUGAUGAUCAUUACUACUUAUUUUAACUACUAUUAUUAAUUUUAUGUUACUUAUUUUCUAUGUUAAAGUAUUUAUAAAAAUUGGGGAACACACCCUUUGAACAUUUUUCUCGUCAUUAUUAUAUAAUUUCGAUGUCAUCAAAUUUAACUAUACUCUUUGGAUUUAUCCAUGAUUCAUUGAGCAAAUGAUUCGAAAUUGAGGGUUGGGUGCAUAUACUAUGACAUGAGUUUUGAGAUACAUAGG
rnacentral:lncRNA from 1 species